AGAGUUUGAUCCUGGCUCAGGAUGAACGCUAGCGGCAGGCCUAACACAUGCAAGUCGAGCGGUAUAGGCUCCUUCGGGAGCCUUGAGAGCGGCGCACGGGUGCGUAACGCGUAUGCAACCUACCCUUUACAGGGGAAUAGCCCGUCGAAAGGCGGAUUAAUGCCCCAUGGUCCUUAAGGAAGGCAUCUUCUGGAAGGUAAAGAUUCAUCGGUAAGGGAUGGGCAUGCGUGCCAUUAGCUGGAUGGUGGGGUAACGGCCCACCAUGGCAACGAUGGCUAGGGGUUCUGAGAGGAAGGCCCCCCACACUGGGACUGAGACACGGCCCAGACUCCUACGGGAGGCAGCAGUGAGGAAUAUUGGUCAAUGGGCGCAAGCCUGAACCAGCCAUGCCGCGUGCGGGAAGAAGGCGCUACGCGUCGUAAACCGCUUUUGUCCGGGGGUAACCGCGGGGACGAGUCCCCGCCUGCAAGUACCGGACGAAUAAGGGUCGGCUAACUCCGUGCCAGCAGCCGCGGUAAUACGGAGGACCCGAGCGUUAUCCGGAUUCAUUGGGUUUAAAGGGUGCGUAGGCGGCCCGGUCAGUCAGCGGUGAAAGGCUCCUGCUUCACAGGAGAGCUGCCGUUGAUACUGCUGGGCUAGAAUCUUAGCGAGGCGGGCGGAAUGCGCGGUGUAGCGGUGAAAUGCAUAGAUAUCGCGCAGAACGCCGAUGGGGAGCCAGCUCGCCAGCUGAGUAUUGACGCUGAGGCACGAA
rnacentral:rRNA from 1 species